UGAGAAGGCACAGCUUGCACGUGA
rnacentral:miRNA from 1 species